rnacentral:rRNA from 1 species
AGAGUUUGAUCAUGGCUCAGAUUGAACGCUGGCGGCAGGCCUAACACAUGCAAGUCGAGCGGUAACAGGGGUAGCUUGCUACCCGCUGACGAGCGGCGGACGGGUGAGUAAUGCAUAGGAAUCUGCCCGAUAGUGGGGGAUAACCUGGGGAAACCCAGGCUAAUACCGCAUACGUCCUACGGGAGAAAGGGGGCUUUGGCUCCCGCUAUUGGAUGAGCCUAUGUCGGAUUAGCUAGUUGGUAAGGUAAUGGCUUACCAAGGCAACGAUCCGUAGCUGGUCUGAGAGGAUGAUCAGCCACAUCGGGACUGAGACACGGCCCGAACUCCUACGGGAGGCAGCAGUGGGGAAUAUUGGACAAUGGGGGCAACCCUGAUCCAGCCAUGCCGCGUGUGUGAAGAAGGCCCUCGGGUUGUAAAGCACUUUCAGCGAGGAAGAACGCCUGUCGGUUAAUACCCGGUAGGAAAGACAUCACUCGCAGAAGAAGCACCGGCUAACUCCGUGCCAGCAGCCGCGGUAAUACGGAGGGUGCAAGCGUUAAUCGGAAUUACUGGGCGUAAAGCGCGCGUAGGUGGCUUGAUAAGCCGGUUGUGAAAGCCCCGGGCUCAACCUGGGAACGGCAUCCGGAACUGUCAAGCUAGAGUGCAGGAGAGGAAGGUAGAAUUCCCGGUGUAGCGGUGAAAUGCGUAGAGAUCGGGAGGAAUACCAGUGGCGAAGGCGGCCUUCUGGACUGACACUGACACUGAGGUGCGAAAGCGUGGGUAGCAAACAGGAUUAGAUACCCUGGUAGUCCACGCCGUAAACGAUGUCGACCAGCCGUUGGGUGCCUAGAGCACUUUGUGGCGAAGUUAACGCGAUAAGUCGACCGCCUGGGGAGUACGGCCGCAAGGUUAAAACUCAAAUGAAUUGACGGGGGCCCGCACAAGCGGUGGAGCAUGUGGUUUAAUUUCGAUGCAACGCGAAGAACCUUACCUACCCUUGACAUCUACAGAAGCCGGAGAGAUUCGGGUGUGCCUUCGGGAACUGUAAGACAGGUGCUGCAUGGCUGUCGUCAGCUCGUG